CGAGCGGUAGCACAGAGAGCUUGCUCUCGGGUGACGAGCGGCGGACGGGUGAGUAAUGUCUGGGAAACUGCCUGAUGGAGGGGGAUAACUACUGGAAACGGUAGCUAAUACCGCAUAACGUCGCAAGACCAAAGUGGGGGACCUUCGGGCCUCAUGCCAUCAGAUGUGCCCAGAUGGGAUUAGCUAGUAGGUGGGGUAAUGGCUCACCUAGGCGACGAUCCCUAGCUGGUCUGAGAGGAUGACCAGCCACACUGGAACUGAGACACGGUCCAGACUCCUACGGGAGGCAGCAGUGGGGAAUAUUGCACAAUGGGCGCAAGCCUGAUGCAGCCAUGCCGCGUGUAUGAAGAAGGCCUUCGGGUUGUAAAGUACUUUCAGCGAGGA
rnacentral:rRNA from 1 species